UAUUCUACAGAACAAGUUCAGGACAGCCAGGGCUUCACAGAGAAACCCUGUCUCAACAAAACAAAACAUACAUAUAACACUUUCUCUUCCCACCCCCAUACAUACAUUUUUUUUAAAAGAUUUAUUUAUUUAUUAUAUGUAAGUACACUGUAGCUGUCUUCAGACACUCCAGAAGAGGGAGUCAGAUCUUGUUAUGGAUGGUUGUGAGCCACCAUAUGGUUGCUGGGAUUUGAACUCUGGACCUUCGGAAGAGCAGUCGGGUGCUCUAACCCACUGAGCCAUCUCACCAGCCCACAUACAUUUUUUUUUUUUUAAAUUUAAGUGCUAACCUGAAUAGCAAGUAAAUAUAAACUUUAAAGGCUGUCAAUAUUUAUUUGGGUUCCGUUUUAAAAGUAACUAACUGAUCAUAAUUCGGUAAGUCCAUGCCACCUGAAGCCCCCCUUUUUUUUAAAGAUUUAUUUAUCUAUUUCAUAUAUAUAAAAGCACACUGUUGCUGUCUUCAGACACCAGAAGACAUCAAGUCCCAUUACAGAUGGUUGUGAGCUACUAUGUGCUUGCUGAACUCAGGACCUCUGGAAGAGCAGUCAGCGCAUUAACAGCUGAGCCAUCUCUCCAGCCCCAAUCCAGUCAGCUGGGCUUUAAACACUUGUUUUAUACAACUGCUUAACUAGUAAAAUUCCCUUUAGCAACAUCAGCUUCAAGUUAUUUAGGCCAUAAAAUGUUAGGGAAAUGAUUGGACUGUAUACCUGAAAUCCUCGGGUAUGCCUAGAAAUAGGAGAGAAAACUGAAAAGGGAUCAGAAUCUUGAAGGGUCCCUGUUUUUCCUCUUGGCUUUUUGAAGCAGGAUAUCCUGUAGGCCAGGCUGUCUUAUCCUGUAGGCCAUUUGAUAUAUAGCUCAGAAUAACCUUGAGCUGCUCUGUUUACUGUCUGUCCUGUCCAGCAGUUGGCAUAAAAGCAUGUGCCGCCACUCUCGGCUUCAUAUACUGCCGGAGAUCGACCCCAGACUUUGCAUGCUAAGUAAGCACUCUGUCAGCUGAACUCCAUUCCCAGCCCAACUGAAUGCUAUACUAAACAUAGGUCAGACAAAUCACUGUAUCUUUGGCUCUUCCAGGAAUAUUUCAGGAUGUUAUUUCAACAUUACUUUUUAUUUUUAAAAUUACACUUUUUGUAGUCCUGACAUUCUCUCCAUUACUCUGACAUUAAUCUCCAUUACUAAGUUUUCCUAGUUUGCCUGUUUUGGAUCGGUUGAGCCCUUUGUUCUUUCUCCCAUGUUGGAAAUGGCUAUGAACUUUCUUGCUUGUUUAUGACUGGGUCUCACUGUGUUGCUCAUCCCGCAAACUGGAUGUGUAGCACACGGUGGCCGUGAACUUGGAACUUGACUUGCCUCAGUUCCUGUGUGUUGGGAUUAUAGGUAUAUGUUACCACAACUGCUCACAUUGGCAGUGAUAAAACAGUGGGAAUGGGGUGCUGUGGGAUUGGCUAUGCCGCAGAUAGCGUUAACCAUCCUGUCUCAUAACCUGCAUAGGUGAAUCUGUCUCCGUCAUCAAGCAUACUGACCCUGUCCCUGACCCCCGAGCUGUUAAUCAAGACAAAAAGAACAUGCUCUUUUCUGUGAGUACUUUUAUCAGAUGUUGGGGGUAAGGUUUCCUGGGGGUUGAACCAAGGGCCUCAGCUAAGAGUGUACUUUUAUUUGGAGAUAGUCCCUGUCUUAAUUAGGGUUUCUAUUGCUGUGAAGAGACACCAUCACCAUGGCAACUUUUAUAAAGGAAAAUGUUUUAUAAAGGAAAAUUAAGGGUAGCUUACAGUUCAGAGGUUUAGUCUGUUAUUAUCAUGGCAGGAAGCCUGGUGGUAUGCAGGCAGACAAGGUGCUGGAGAGGUAGCUGGAAAAAGUUCUACAUCCAGAUCUUGAGGAAGUGGGAAGAGAGAGUGAGCCUCAAGACCCCACCUGUUCCCAAUAAUGCCACUCCUUAUGAGUAUAUGGGGGCGUUUUCAUUCAAACCACCAACAUCCCAAAGUUCUGAGUCUUUUCUUUUUACUGGCCACUCUCAGUGGCCAGACGUAAAAAAAUAAUCAGUUAUUCCAAAGAUAAUUAUUCUUUGGUAUGUGUGUCAGCUGUCAG
rnacentral:lncRNA from 1 species